UGGGGAAUUUUCCGCAAUGGGCGAAAGCCUGACGGAGCAAUACCGCGUGAGGGAGGAAGGCUUUUGGGUUGUAAACCUCUUUUCUCAAGGAAGAAGAAAGUGACGGUACUUGAGGAAUCAGCAUCGGCUAACUCCGUGCCAGCAGCCGCGGUAAUACGGAGGAUGCAAGCGUUAUCCGGAAUUAUUGGGCGUAAAGGGUCCGCAGGUGGAACAACAAGUCUGCUGUCAAAGACCGAAGCUUAACUUCGGGCAGGCAGUGGAAACUGUUGAACUAGAGUACGGUAGGGGUAGAGGGAAUUUCCAGUGUAGCGGUGAAAUGCGUAGAGAUUGGAAAGAACACCAGUGGCGAAGGCGCUCUACUGGACCUGUACUGACACUGAGGGACGAAAGCUAGGGGAGCGAAAGGGAUUAGAUACCCCCGUAGUCC
rnacentral:rRNA from 1 species